ACGGAAGGCAGCAGUGGGGAAUAUUGGGCAAUGGGCGAAAGCCUGACCCAGCAACGCCGCGUGAAGGAAGAAGGCCUUCGGGUUGUAGACUUCUUUUAGCAGGGACGAAGGACGUGACGGUACCUGCAGAAAAAGCAACGGCUAACUACGUGCCAGCAGCCGCGGUAAUACGUAGGUUGCAAGCGUUGUCCGGAUUUACUGGGUGUAAAGGGCGUGUAGGCGGAACUGCAAGUCAGAUGUGAAAUGCCGGGGCUCAACCCCGGAACUGCAUUUGAAACUGCAGUCCUUGAGUAUCGGAGGGGCAAGCGGAAUUCCUAGUGUAGCGGUGAAAUGCGUAGAUAUUAGGAGGAACACCAGUGGCGAAGGCGGCUUGCUGGACGACAACUGACGCUGAGGCGCGAAAGCGUGGGGAGCAAACAGGAUUAGAUACCCUGGGA
rnacentral:rRNA from 1 species